UGGCAGUGAUGACUAUCUUAGGACACCUUUGGAAUAACCGUGAAAUAAUUUAUAUUCCUCUGAGCCAU
rfam:Chlamydotis undulata macqueenii contig48458, whole genome shotgun sequence.